rnacentral:rRNA from 1 species
UACGUAGGGGCCUAGCGUUGUCCGGAUUUAUUGGGCGUAAAGAGCGUGUAGGCGGCUUGUUAAGUCUUGCGUGAAAUCUCGGGGCUCAACCCCGAGCGGUCGUGAGAAACUGGCAGGCUAGAGUGCGGGAGAGGAGAGUGGAAUUCCUGGUGUAGCGGUGAAAUGCGCAGAUAUCAGGAAGAACACCCGUGGCGAAGGCGGCUCUCUGGAACGCAACUGACGCUGAGACGCGAAAGCGUGGGGAGCAAACAGG